UACAGAGGGGGCAAGCGUUGUUCGGAAUUACUGGGCGUAAAGGGCGCGUAGGCGGCCUGUUAAGUCGAACGUGAAAUCCCCGGGCUCAACCCGGGAACUGCGUCCGAUACUGGCAGGCUUGAAUCCGGGAGAGGGAUGCAGAAUUCCAGGUGUAGCGGUGAAAUGCGUAGAGAUGUGGAGGAAUACCGAUGGCGAAGGCAGCCCCCUGGGCCAACACUGACGCUCAUGCACGAAAGCGUGGGGAGCAACAGG
rnacentral:rRNA from 1 species